rnacentral:lncRNA from 1 species
AAGCAUGUUUAUCAGCAAAUCUCAAAAUAUAAACCCUAAACAUGAAUUUGUACAACUUACUUGAGUGGAGACUUUGAAUGCUUACAGAAAAAUUGUCUAAUUGAUUAUGAAUGUCCUCUCCAAUGCAAAACCAUCAACCAAAAACCCCAAACUUUGACAAAACAAUGGUAGAAAAUUGAAUUUUUGGUGAGUGGGUAAUGAGAAAGUGAGGAAAUCUCUCUAAAAAACUCUUGAAAGUGAAAGGAGAGUGUUAGGGCUUAGGGAGACUGCUC